rnacentral:rRNA from 1 species
AGUGAACGCUGGCGGUAGGCCUAACACAUGCAAGUCGAACGGCAGCACAGUAAGAGCUUGCUCUUACGGGUGGCGAGUGGCGGACGGGUGAGGAAUACAUCGGAAUCUACUUUUUUCGUGGGGGAUAACGUAGGGAAACUUACGCUAAUACCGCAUACGACCUACGGGUGAAAGCAGGGGAUCUUCGGACCUUGCGCGAUUGAAUGAGCCGAUGUCGGAUUAGCUAGUUGGCGGGGUAAAGGCCCACCAAGGCGACGAUCCGUAGCUGGUCUGAGAGGAUGAUCAGCCACACUGGAACUGAGACACGGUCCAGACUCCUACGGGAGGCAGCAGUGGGGAAUAUUGGACAAUGGGCGCAAGCCUGAUCCAGCCAUACCGCGUGGGUGAAGAAGGCCUUCGGGUUGUAAAGCCCUUUUGUUGGGAAAGAAAAGCAGCAGGUUAAUACCCCGCUGUUCUGACGGUACCCAAAGAAUAAGCACCGGCUAACUUCGUG